UCGUACGAAUGCAUUUUAGCUUGCUAGAAUGUAAUGAGUGGUGGACGGGUGAGUAACACGUAAGAACCUACCUUUUGGUGAGGGACAACCAUUGGAAACGAUGGCUAAUACCUCGUAUUGCUGAGAAGUGAAAGAUGAAAAUCGCCAAGAGAUGGGCUUGCGGCUGAUUAGCUAGUUGGUAAGGUAAUGGCUUACCAAGGCGAUGAUCAGUAGCUGGUCUGAGAGGAUGAUCAGCCACACUGGGACUGAGACACGGCCCAGACUCCUACGGGAGGCAGCAGUGAGGAAUUUUCCGCAAUGGGCGAAAGCCUGACGGAGCAAUGCCGCGUGAAGGAUGAAGGCCUAUGGGUUGUAAACUUCUUUUCUCAGAGAAGAAUUCUGACGGUAUCUGAGGAAUAAGCAUCGGCUAACUCUGUGCCAGCAGCCGCGGUAAGACAGAGGAUGCAAGCGUUAUCCGGAAUGAUUGGGCGUAAAGCGUCUGUAGGUGGCUUAAAAAGUCUCCUGUCAAAGAUCAGGGCUUAACCCUGGGCCGGCAGGAGAAACUCUUAGGCUAGAGUUUGGUAGGGGCAGAGGGAAUUCCCGGUGGAGCGGUGAAAUGCGUAGAG
rnacentral:rRNA from 1 species